GUGUGUCUAAGUGCGUGUGAGUUUGUGAGUGUGCAAGUGAGUGGGGGGCACCUCCUCGGUCCUCUCCCGAGCCCCCCUCUCCUGGCCUCUCCUCUAGUGUCCACUCUGGGGAUAGCUCAGCACAGCUUCUUAGGAGGGGCGAGCUGGUGGCAUAAGCCCAUGCAGUCUCCUCAUUCUGGCUGGUUCUGGGCAGGGCUCCUUUCUCCCCUUAGCUGGACAACAGUUUGUUCUAAUUCUCAACAGUGAAAAUUAGACAGGACAUCAGUCCCCACCUCCAGAGCCCACGCCACAAGCCAGGUGCUGUUCCCACAGACUCGUUCCAUCUUCACAGUACCCUAUGGGGUGGUGGUGAUUAUUACCUGAAUUUUACAGUUUCAGAACAUUUCCAUCGCUCCAGAAGAAGACCCCGUGACAACGCGGAGCGGUCACUCCCCACGCGUCCUCCCCUGAGCCUGUGGGAGCCUCUGAUCUGCUUCGGUUUGUAUGGAUUCGCCAGUUCUGGGCGUUUCAUGUGAAUGGAACCCUCAGCAUUCGUCCUUCUGUGUCCUCCAGGGCUUUGCAUGCUGUACCAGUGCCGGAACGCCACGCUCUUCAUGUCGUGGAUGAGCGGGUUCAUUGUGCGGACACACUUGUGUGUUCAUUCAUCUGUGGAUGGGCUCAGGGCUGUCUCCACCUCUUGGCUGCUGUGAACAGCGUUGUUAUCCGCAUUCAUGUGCAAGCUUUGUCUGAGCACCUGUUCCGAUGCUGUGGGGUAGGGACCCAGCAGCGUAAUGGCUGAGCUGCAGGCCCUGUGUUUAAGGGCUUGUUUUCCUGCCGGCCAGGCCUCGAUAACAGUCCUCAUGGUCUCGUCCUGUCUGCGCCUUCCGUCUGGGCUCCCGACCUGCCCAUCAGUCCACUCCAAGGUUGUUUUCUGCCCCUCCCUCCCUAAAACCCAGGAGCCCCAAGACUCUGAGGGACAGGUUCCAGAUGGGGAAAUCGAGGUCCUCAGCAAAAAAGAGUUUUGCCCCCUAAAUUGGAGUGGAGCUGGGAUUUAGCCUCAGCCCCCUCCCUUCCCAAGACCCCUAGGUCCUAGGUCUUUGUGCUGUGGCUGCAUGUCCCACACAGGGCUAUCGCUCCCAGAGAGAGCUGGCCACGUUCUCAGUUUCUCAUCUCCUGGGCACUGGCUUUCCUGGCAGAUCCAGGGCAGGACGUGGUGGCUUUUGUGUGAAAACAAGUCUCAAGUGGGCUCUGCAGCAGAAUGCUAGCCUGGCAUACACUUCCAGCCCCGGGCCCCUGGCUCCGCUCCGCUUCCCACCCCUCCUGCCCCCUCCAGAGCAUCUGUGACCACGCGAUCAAUAUGGAGCUGAUCAAUCCAUCUGUCCCUCUGCUUGGCUGAGGCAGCUGGCAAUGAUGGCCGCCUUGGGACCCCACAUGUGCCCCUGAGACGGUGGCACGUAUCACCCCCUCAUUGCACAUGUGGGGAAAUUGAGGCCUCCAGUGGAGUUGGGCCGUCCCAAAGUUCUCAGCAAGCCUGUGGGGUGGGAAGGGGUGGAAACCCGCUCAGCUGGCCCCUCUUUCAGACAUCAUGUCUGUGAGGCGUGUGGUCCUGGGCGCCCUGUGUCCCCGUGACCGUGCCCCAGGGGUCCUGAAGUGCUAAACCACAGAUUCAUUAAAUGUCGACUGAGUGUCUGCUGUGGGCUGG